CAUUACAAGAACGCCCGGGCUUCGGCCUGGUUAUUCAUAACCCUUUGUUGUCCGACUCUGUUGCCUCCGGGGCGACCCUGCCUUCGGGCGGGGGCUCCGGGUGGACACUUCAAACUCUUGCGUAACUUUGCAGUCUGAGUAAACUUAAUUAAUAAAUUAAAACUUUUAACAACGGAUCUCUUGGUUCUGGCAUCGAUGAAGAACGCAGCGAAAUGCGAUAAGUAAUGUGAAUUGCAGAAUUCAGUGAAUCAUCGAAUCUUUGAACGCACAUUGCGCCCCCUGGUAUUCCGGGGGGCAUGCCUGUUCGAGCGUCAUUUCACCACUCAAGCCUCGCUUGGUAUUGGGCAACGCGGUCCGCCGCGUGCCUCAAAUCGUCCGGCUGGGUCUUCUGUCCCCUAAGCGUUGUGGAAACUAUUCGCUAAAGGGUGUUCGGGAGGCUACGCCGUAAAACAACCCCAUUUCUAAGGUUGACCUCGGAUCAGGUAGGGAUACCCGCUGAACUUAAGCAUAUCA
rnacentral:rRNA from 1 species